rnacentral:rRNA from 1 species
AUUGAACGCUGGCGGAAUGCUUUACACAUGCAAGUCGAACGGCAGCACGGGGCAACCUGGUGGCGAGUGGCGAACGGGUGAGUAAUACAUCGGAACGUGCCCAAUCGUGGGGGAUAACGUAGCGAAAGUUACGCUAAUACCGCAUACGAUCUACGGAUGAAAGCGGGGGAUCGCAAGACCUCGCGCGAAUGGAGCGGCCGAUGUCAGAUUAGGUAGUUGGUGGGGUAAAGGCUCACCAAGCCAACGAUCUGUAGCUGGUCUGAGAGGACGACCAGCCACACUGGAACUGAGACACGGUCCAGACUCCUACGGGAGGCAGCAGUGGGGAAUUUUGGACAAUGGGCGCAAGCCUGAUCCAGCAAUGCCGCGUGCAGGAUGAAGGCCUUCGGUGUAAACUGCUUUGUACGGUACGAAAAGACUUCGGCGUAAUACCCUGAAGUCAUGACGGUACCGUAAGAAUAAAGCACCGGCUAACUGCGUGCCAGCAGCCGCGGUAA